AGUGAACGCUGGCGGUAGGCCUAACACAUGCAAGUCGAACGGCAGCACAGGAGAGCUUGCUCUCUGGGUGGCGAGUGGCGGACGGGUGAGGAAUACAUCGGAAUCUACUCUGUCGUGGGGGAUAACGUAGGGAAACUUACGCUAAUACCGCAUACGACCUACGGGUGAAAGCAGGGGACCUUCGGGCCUUGCGCGAUUGCAUGAGCCGAUGUCGGAUUAGCUAGUUGGCGGGGUAAAGGCCCACCAAGGCGACGAUCCGUAGCUGGGCUGAGAGGAUGAUCAGCCACACUGGAACUGAGACACGGUCCAGACUCCUACGGGAGGCAGCAGUGGGGAAUAUUGGACAAUGGGCGCAAGCCUGAUCCAGCCAUACCGCGUGGGUGAAGAAGGCCUUCGGGUUGUAAAGCCCUUUUGUUGGGAAAGAAAUCCAGCUGGCUAAUACCCGGUUGGGAUGACGGUACCCAAAGAAUAAGCACCGGCUAACUUCGUGCCAGCAGCCGCGGUAA
rnacentral:rRNA from 1 species